GCAGCAGCAGCAGCAGCAGCACCCCCAGCUAUUAAUCCUCCCACACCAUGUCCAUGUGAACCGUGUCCUGUAAAUUUUACCAUUCACGUCAGAUGAUGAUAAAAGAUGAAAAUGAAAUUGUAUUUAUAAGUUAGCGAACAUCUCUCCAGAUCCAUUUUGAGUUUUGAGGGUUAAAGAAGAUGGAUGCGGUUCACCAAAUGGCAAGCUAUAUGCCUUUUUCAUUUUCUUUUUUUUUUUUCUUUAAAGGACUAAGUGAAAAACCUUUAUCAAAAGAAAAAAUCAACCAUAAGUUUAAGAUCCAAUGUUAUAUCCUUGCUCAUUGCUCUUUGAAGUAUGAACAAAAACCAAAGACCAUAAGGCCCACAAUAGGGAGACUUAACAACUCAAAUUUAUAAUGGACUAACAAAGAAACAGCCAUAGGAAAACUAAAGGGGUCAUGAAGCCUACCAGGAUAACCAGCUGGUGGAUAUCCACCAUGCGGUGGAUAACCAGCUGGUGGAUAUCCACCAUGCGGUGGAUACGCAGCUGGAGGGUGUCCUCCUGGGGGAGGAUAUCCAGUAGGUGGAUAUCCGCCAGGAGGAGGAUAUCCACCUGGAGGAGGGUAUCCAGCAGGUGGGUAGCCUUGUGGCGGAUACCCAUGAGAAGGGUAGGAUCCAGGUGGAGGAUAAUGUCCAGCAGCAUAGCCAGCAAGAUUAGAAAACAGCCCUUUGUCACUUGACUCGCCUUCAUUCUUGUCUUUACCACCUCCCAUUUUUCUUCAGCUUGAAGUUAUUGAGUUUAAGUAACCUAGUCUGUCAGGAGUAAAAAAACAAACCUUUGUCAGCUGAAACACACUUCAAAGAGAAAUAUUGAAAAGAAAAUAUUAAAAAAGAAAAAAAAAACAAAAUAGCUAUCAAAUAUGUAGAUUAGACAGUGCCUGGCUGGUUUCAAAAGUUGAUUCUC
rnacentral:lncRNA from 1 species